GGACGGAACAAGGGCAGACCGGUGCCGGGGCUCACCCGAAGGCAGCCAACCUCUAGGUGAAGUUACCGGACAUUUAUAACAACACUGCUCCGAGGAGGCUGGUGGUCUCCAUGCAGCUCUGCCCAAGAGAUUUUACCAGCCACUUCGAACCACCACACCACGCAACUCCAGUGAUUACACUGCGACGAACUGGGCUGUACUCGUAAGUAAAAUCAUUCAGUCUCAUUCACCUGGUUGCAAGAGAACAGGUACUGUAAUGAUCCCUGUCACAGAAUGGGGUAGA